GGGCUGAUAGUAUAGUGGUCAGUACACUUCGUUGUGGUUCUCACGGCCCCGAAGAAACCCAGGUUCGAUUCCUGGUCUGCCCA